rnacentral:lncRNA from 1 species
ACUUGAACUUGGGAGGUGGAGGUUGCAGUGAGCCGAGAUUGUGCCACUGCACUCCAGCCUAGGCGACAAAGCAAACUCCAUCUCAAAAAAAAAAAAAAAAAAGAAAAAAAAAAGAACAGAAAAAAGAACCAAAUUUGCAGUGAGCUGUUAUUAUGUCACUGUACUCCAGCCUGGGUGACAGAGUUGAGACCGUGUCUCUAAAAAGAAAAAAAACAAACCAAACCACGGG